CAAGCGUUGUUCGGAAUUACUGGGCGUAAAGCGUGCGCAGGCGGUUUUGUAAGUCUGUCGUGAAAUCCCCGGGCUCAACCUGGGAAUUGCGAUGGAGACUGCAAGGCUAGAAUCUGGCAGAGGGGGGUAGAAUUCCACGUGUAGCAGUGAAAUGCGUAGAGAUGUGGAGGAACACCGAUGGCGAAGGCAGCCCCCUGGGUCA
rnacentral:rRNA from 1 species